rnacentral:rRNA from 1 species
GAUGAACGCUGGCGGCGUGCCUAAUACAUGCAAGUCGAGCGAACGGACGAGAAGCUUGCUUCUCUGAUGUUAGCGGCGGACGGGUGAGUAACACGUGGAUAACCUACCUAUAAGACUGGGAUAACUUCGGGAAACCGUAGCUAAUACCGGAUAAUAUUUUGAACCGCAUGGUUCAAAAGUGAAAGACGGUCUUGCUGUCACUUAUAGAUGGAUCCGCGCUGCAUUAGCUAGUUGGUAAGGUAACGGCUUACCAAGGCAACGAUGCAUAGCCGACCUGAGGGGGUGAUCGGCCACACUGGAACUGAGACACGGUCCAGACUCCUACGGGAGGCAGCAGUAGGGAAUCUUCCGCAAUGGGCGAAAGCCUGACGGAGCAACGCCGCGUGAGUGAUGGAGGUCUUCGGAUCGUAAAACUCUGUUAUUAGGGAAGAACAUAUGUGUAAGUAACUGUGCACAUCUUGACGGUACCUAAUCAGAAAGCCACGGCUAACUACGUG